UCAGAAAUUCAUUCAUCAAAUAAAACCUCAAAAUCAGUCAGAUUUAUAGGAGAGAACAAGAGAGAGAAAAUGACGAGAGAAGAGAUGAGUGGACCGCCGGCGCAGAAGGUUUAUCGUCUUCUCUCUUUCGCCGCUGCCGGAGUGAUAUGCACAUUUGCAAUUAACCAAUGGAGAGUAUUUGAAAGCAAAAGAGCUGAACAAAAUGAGGAGAAGGAGAAGCAGCAACAUCAACUACCUCAUGAUUCCCAGUCUACUGUUGCUCAAAAAGUACUCAAAUAAUUUCAUUACUUUGCAGGUUUUUACAAUUUUUAUUGUUUUUUUCUUGGGAGAUUGAGAAGUAGUUUGUUUGUAGAGUGAAAUUAUUUAAUUUUAAUUUGCCAAUUGAUUGAAAACUGUUUGAAAA